UACGUAGGUGGCAAGCGUUUGUCCGGAUUUAUUGGGUUUAAAGGGUGCGUAGGCGGUCUUUUUAAGUCAGUGCUGAAAUAUCCCGGCUUAACCGGGAGGGUGGCAUUGAUACUGAAGGACUUGAGUAAAGUUGAGGUAGGCGGAAUUGACGGUGUAGCGGUGAAAUGCUUAGAUAUCGUCAAGAACACCGAUAGUGUAGACAGCUUACUAAGCUUUAACUUGACGCUGAGGCACGAAAAGUGUGGGGGAUCA
rnacentral:rRNA from 1 species